GGGUGCUUAGCUCAGUCGGUAGAGCGGCGCCCUUACAAGGCGUAGGUCGGGGGUUCGAACCCCUCAGCACCCACCA
rnacentral:tRNA from 1 species